rnacentral:rRNA from 1 species
GACGAACGCUGGCGGCGUGCCUAAUACAUGCAAGUAGAACGCAGUUGCGAACGGGUGAGUAACGCGUAGGUAACUUCCUGGUAGCGGGGGAUAACAAUUGGAAACGAUAGCUAAUACCGCAUACUUCCAGAUGGACCUGCGUUGUAUUAGCUAGUUGGUGGGGUAACGGCUCACCAAGGCAACGCUACAUAGCCGACCUGUGAGGGUGAUCGGCCCAACUGGGACUGAGAAACGGCCCAGACUCCUACGGGAGGCAGCAGUAGGGAAGCUGCGGCAAUGGACGGAAGUCUGACCGAGCAACGCCGCGUGAGUGAAGAAGGUUUUCGGAUCGUAAAGCUCUGUUGUAAGAGAAGCGGUAUCUGACCAGAAAGGGACGGCUAACUACGUGCCAGCAGCCGCGGUAAUUC